rnacentral:tRNA from 1 species
GUGGUAGUUCAGUUGGUUAGAAUACCGGCCUGUCACGCCGGGGGUCGC